GCUGGGCACCAUGGCACGUGCCUAUGGUCCCAGCUGCUGGGAAUGCCAAGGUGGGAGGACUGCUAGAGCCCAGGAGUUCUCAGCUGCAAUGCACUGUGUCUGUUGUGUGUCCACACUAAGUUUGGCAUCAAUGUGGUGACCUCCUGGGAGUGGGGGACCACCAGAUACCUAAGGAUAAGUGAACUGGUUCAGGUUGGAAACAGCAAGUCAAAACUCCCAUGCUGAUCCGCAGUGGGAUCACGCCUGUGAAUAGCCACUGCACAGCAGCCUGGGCAACACAGUGAGACACUGCCUCU
rnacentral:SRP_RNA from 1 species